rnacentral:rRNA from 1 species
CCUACGGGUGGCUGCAGUGAGGAAUAUUGGUCAAUGGACGAGAGUCUGAACCAGCCAAGUAGCGUGAAGGAUGACUGCCCUAUGGGUUGUAAACUUCUUUUAUAUGGGAAUAAAAUGUUCCACGUGUGGGAUUUUGUAUGUACCAUAUGAAUAAGGAUCGGCUAACUCCGUGCCAGCAGCCGCGGUAAUACGGAGGAUCCGAGCGUUAUCGGGGUUUAUUGGGUUUAAAGGGAGCGUAGGGGGAUUGUUAAGUCAGUUGUGAAAGUUUGCGGCUCAACCGUAAAAUUGCAGUUGAAACUGGCAGUCUUGAGUACAGUAGAGGUGGGCGGAAUGCGUGGUGUAGCGGUGAAAUGCUUAGAUAUCACGAAGAACUCCGAUUGCGAAGGCAGUUCACUGGACUGCAACUGACACUGAGGCUCGAAAGUGUGGGUAUCAAACAGGAUUAGAUACCCGUGUAGUC